UAACCAGCCUUUUGCAACGACUAUUGCCGCACAGCAUAUUGAAGGCUCGUUGAAAGGAUGCUGAUAGUUUAUAUUCUAGCAAAAUUUCAUUGCUUGUAGUAUCAAUUUAUGGAAGGGAAGUUUGAAAUGUGAAGCUUUUCUGAAACUUCUGUCUCUGCUAAGCUAACAUCGUACCGUUUUUCAUAUAGUUUCCUUUGUCAGUGAAGUCGUAGCCUGUGCAUGAACCUCAGCCACAGCCACACAACCCUUCCUCCCCCAUCCCCCAAUAAAAACGCUCCCCCGCCCGCCUGUAGGCGUCUGGCGGGUGUUCAAAACCCCGCCAUUUUCAGUUGACCAAUCACGAAUGGGUUAUUUUAAGAGCCCGCCGAUAUUCUAAUAUUCAUACGCGUUGUGAUAACCGUGCAUUUCUCGGAAAAAGGAACAAUUCAUCCUGUUAAACUUUUUAUUUAUUCUUAUUUUAGUUAAAAUAACGUUAAUUAUUUAUUAAAAUGCGAUGAUUAAAUGUUACUCAAGUUCUUUUUCCCCUCUCAAGUAAGAACUAUUUUGUGUCCGCGCAACUCGGAGGACUUCAAAAAUGACCGUUAGGUUCUGCAAGCAACGCAUCAGCAAAAAAGACGCGUCGGUAGUUUGAUAAGUCGUUGUGUUUUUGUGUGAGGGCAGCAUAUUUUCAGUAUGCUGCUGUUCUAAAGUGAUAAUUUUAAUUUUCGACCCUCCGUUUACGCGUUUUAUUUUUUUUGAUUUCGCACCGGAUUUCGCGAAGAACUAUAAUUGACAGAUCGUGUUUGACUAACCAUGAAAAGCCCGAAGAAAAGACUGUCUGAACCUCCGAAAAAGUUGAUUGCUGUUGUAUCUCCCCAGAGAAGGAAAAGUGUGAAGGAACCCAUGGGUUUAGCACACAGUUCUUUCAGCGAUGAGGCUCUGAAGAAACCGGUAGCUGCCGCGGUUUCAUUGGCAGCUGGAAAAUCGACACCCACUAAAGCUGUCAUCAAAAGCACACCGAAAGCCAAAGCUUCUGCUGCAAAAAUCAAAUCCAUCGGAGAUGUUGCUAAAGUAACACCAGUGAAAACCACCCCUAUUAAGGCUGCACCACUAAAAUCCACACCAUCCAAAGCCACCCCUAAAGUUGUGCCAGUCAAGAAAACUCCAGCAAAAUCUGCUGUCAAAUCAACUCCAGCAAAAGCAACCCCCAAAAAGUUGUCGCAGCCAAAGCCUCUCCUGCAAAGGCUACACCAUCAAAAACUGUUCAAGCAAAACCUACUCCCGCUAAAAAAUCGCCUGUCAAAGCAACUCCGAGCAAGGUUGCUCCAGCCAAACCGACACCCAGUAAAGUGGUCGUUUCCAAAUCCGUUCCUACCAAAGCUGCUCGAAUGUCUACAAAAAUACCUGUUCCUAAACUUCUCUCAUGGGUAAACCCAGUGCUGUGUCAAGGAAGUCGCAGCCUGCCCCAGGUGUAAGCAAAGAAAAAGCAGUCACAAAAGUGACCCCUGUCAAAGCAGCCGUUGGGCCCAAGGUCAUCAGUCCUUUGGCCAAAAGCGCUAAGAAAGCCUCACCCAAGAAAUCUACUCCAAAAAAAUCAUCUCCCACAAAAUCGCCAUCCAAGUCGCCUCGACUUUCAUUCACACCUAAAAUAGCCCUUCGAUCCCCAGAUGUCGGCAAACCGUCUCCGAAAAGCUCGGCUAAAAAGGCAGUUCAACGAAAACCUCCGCAUCCAGCAGUCAAAGCUAUAUUAGAAGACGUUUUUUGGUCCCAAUAUUU
rnacentral:lncRNA from 1 species